UACAUAGGGUGCAAGCGUUGUCCGGAAUUAUUGGGCGUAAAGAGCUCGUAGGUGGUUCGUUACGUCGGAUGUGAAAAUCUGGGGCUCAACCCCAGACCUGCAUUCGAUACGGGUGAACUAGAGUGUGGUAGGGGAGACUGGAAUUCCUGGUGUAGCGGUGGAAUGCGCAGAUAUCAGGAGGAACACCAAUGGCGAAGGCAGGUCCCUGGGCCAUUACUGACACUGAGGAGCGAAAGCGUGGGGAGCGAACAGG
rnacentral:rRNA from 1 species